UACGUAGGGGGCAAGCGUUGUCCGGAAUCAUUGGGCGUAAAGAGCGUGUAGGCGGCCCGGUAAGUCCGCUGUGAAAGUCCAGGGCUCAACCCUGGGAUGCCGGUGGAUACUGUCGGGCUCGAGUCCGGAAGAGGAGUGUGGAAUUCCUGGUGUAGCGGUGAAAUGCGCAGAUAUCAGGAGGAACACCAAUGGCGAAGGCAGCACUCUGGGACGUGACUGACGCUGAGACGCGAAGCGUGGGGAGCAAACAGG
rnacentral:rRNA from 1 species